rnacentral:rRNA from 1 species
UACGGAGGGGGCUAGCGUUGUUCGGAAUUACUGGGCGUAAAGCGUACGUAGGCGGCUUUGUAAGUUAGAGGUGAAAGCCCGGAGCUCAACUCCGGAAUUGCCUUUAAGACUGCAUCGCUCGAAUCGUGGAGAGGUGAGUGGAAUUCCGAGUGUAGAGGUGAAAUUCGUAGAUAUUCGGAAGAACACCAGUGGCGAAGGCGACUCACUGGACACGUAUUGACGCUGAGGUACGAAAGCCAGGGGAGCAAACGGG